GAACCCUGCUGGGUGCCAGUGAGGCACUUUACACACAUCACCUAAUUCAGUUCUCAUAAUGACACUAUGAAGUAGGCAACUUUAUUAGUUGCGGAUUAAAGGUAGAGAAACCGAGACUCAGACUUUAGUCCCCUAUGCUUUAGGUGCUUUUCCUGAAUUUCUGACUCCCUGGAUCUGGACACCAUUUGCCUGGGUCUACAGAAUCUGUUCAUUCUGCCUAAGUUGAUCGCUCCAGAUUUCCAUUCUUGGCAGUUAAAACAUGCGGUAUGAGGGCUUUGUGAGGACUUACUGCAGUCAUACCUGUGAAACUAACAGUAUAAUGUCUGAUAGCUGGGUAGAAGGAGUCAAACUGAAGGGGCAGAGAGCUGGUAGAAGACUGAUAUCAUCAGCCCAUCAACUCUGCCAGGCCCUUGGGUCCUACGAGAGAAUGCAUAGGAGCUAGAUUCAUGGAGCUGUCCAACUGGACUUUCUACAAUGAUGGAGACAUUACAUGCUACCCAGUAGUCACCGGCCACACGCAGCUUCGGAGCACCUGAAAUACGGCGAGUGCAACUGAGGAACUGAAUUUUUAUUUUAAUCUAAGUUAAUUAAAUUAAUUAAAAUUUAAACUUAAAUAGCCACCAUGUAGGUAGUGGCUACCAUCCUGUAUGACAGAGUUAGAAUUUGCUCAUUUACUUCCAUCUCCAUUUUUUUUUUUUUUUUCCUUUUAAGUGCUCUGGUCUCCUAGUCUUUUGGGAUGAGACAGGCUAUCUCUGGCGGGCAUUUCUGCUGCUCUGUUUACCGAUUGUCACUCACAGGAUAUGAAUUCUUAGAGGGUAAGGACUGUGUCUUCUCUAUCUGAAUAAGCCAAAAAUGCCCAGCAUGGGACCUGACACAAACAACCUUUGUUGAGUCGAAUAAGGCACUGUCCAGAUGAAAGGCUCCCCUUCUCCAUGGGGAAACCAUUCAUCUUCUCUUAGGGGAGCUUUACAAUUAAACACAAACCAUUUCCUAGACUUUUUUAAUAGCCCAGAGGUAAGGUAGAUAGGAAAAUAAACGAUCCUGCUACCUUUAUCAUUUAUCCAAAAGAAUGUGUUUACUUCUUUUCAGCAUCAGGGCUCUAUGCAGGGAAGCAGGCAGAUUUUCUUUCUCUCUCAGCACGUCACUCCCAUUUUCUGCUGCUAACUAGCUAAGCAAAGACACUGAUUAUAACCUGUUCUAAUAUCCCUGACCAUACAAAAUACCAUAAGCAAAAAAUAAUAAUCAAAUAACUAGUGUUAAUAGCACUUCAUGGUUUAGGAAACAUCUGCACAUGAACUUACGGGUUUGCUCCUGAUGUUAGCCUUGCAAGUUUCAAAUCAUCUUUCCCAUUUUAUAGAAGAGGAAGUAAAGGCUCAGAGAGAUUAUCCAAACCAUACAAAGAUACAAAGCCUCUAAAAUAUUGAGAUAGGUUUGAAAACCAGAUCUAUCUAAAAACCUACUUACCAUGUGUAAGGAAAGAUGAAUUAUACAGAGAUCUUGAAGAAUUUAUUGGAUUUGGACACAAGAAAACUAGUGGAAGGGAAGGCAUUUCAAAACAAAGCAAUAGCACAAGUCGCACAUGGGGGUAUAAAUUGUGGGGACAUGUAGAUGGGCAAAUGAGUACAACUCAGAGUGGGUGGGUAAAGUGGUAUGGUGCAACAUAAAAAUAGAAAGUCACGUCCUGCCAGAAUGAAGGGGUGCUGAACGCCAGGUGAGGAUUUGGGUUUGGCUCUGUAGCCUUAGGAACUGCAGUGGGUUUGAGAACCAGAAGAUUUGUUUCUAGACCAUGGAACUACUGGAGAAGGAACUAAGGCCACAGCUCAGAGCAGUGGUUCUCAAAGUGUGGUCCCUGGGCCAGCUGCAUCUGCAUCACCUGGAACCUGCUUGAAAUACAAAUUCUCAGCCUCACCUCAGCCCAGAUGAAUGAGACACUGUGGAUGAGGCCUGCCAAUCUGUUUUAGCAAGGCUUCUAGGUCAUUCUGAUGCACUGAAACCUGCCAGCUUAGAGAAAUGCAGCAAGAGAACACUCAGGCUCUGACCUUAUUUAAGCAAAGCAUCUGCCUGAGCCAGAGCAUCUUGGAAGGGAGAUCCAGAGAAAAGAGGGUAUAAAAGAAACUUGUGAUGACAUCAAGUCCAACCCUCUUGUAUAGAUGCAGAGACUCUUCUCCAGAUUUUGAUAUCUGUUUUAGGAGAUAAAGAAUCACUCCCCUAUUCCCUCAAUCAGAGGGAUUUUAGGAAUUGAGUCAGUAAGGUUUUGAGAGGAAGCAAGGGUUUGAUGAAUGGGAUCACCCAUGUUCUCCUCUGAGUGGUGCUCUUAAACUCACAGCCUGGGUCCUGAAAAGGCACCUCAGAUUAAGCCCCAGCCAGUACAACAAGGAGAAACAGAACUGAACAAUGACGCAUACAAAGUGACCAGAAAUACUCCUGGACUUCUAGGUGGGGAGUAAAGGGGAAAGAAGAACACAUACACACACAUUCACACGCACACAUACAUAUACAUAUACCUUGUAAUGGUCUCCUUUGCAAUAAAGGGAGUCCCCAAAUUUCUAACUAUCUGAGAUACUGAGAUUUAAUUAUUUAUGGCUGAAUAAGAUUUUUGCCUAUAAAUGCAUUAUCCAAUCACAGAGGAAAACAAAUGCUUGGCUCUAUAUCAAAGGUUUUGGUUUGGAAACGAUGUAUUUCUCCAGAGUCCAGGGUUUACUUUUCUUUCUGCUGCUCAAGCGCAACAAGCUCAUGCCCAAGUUGCGACCUUUUGCCAGCCAGUCUUUUGGUCCAGGUAGACUGUAACCCAGGUCUUCACGUGUCUGGCUCCAUUUUGCAAUUCAAGUCACCAAUCAGAUGUCUCCUUCCCAGAAAUAUCUGUUUUCUUUCCCCCAUCAAAAAUAGUUCACCAUUCCCAGCAGUUAUCCUUUAUCAUAUUAUUGUCUGAUUUUCUCCAUAGAAUUUACCACCACACAAAGUAAGCUUGUUACUAGUUUGUUUUACUGUUUAAUGUUCAUUUUCCCCAGGAGACUGUAAGCUUCACGAAGGUAUUGAAGAUGUCUCUCUGUUGCUCACUGUAGCAUCUGCAGUGCCUAGACAGGGGCCUGGCAAAUAGUGCAUGAUCACAUAUAUAUUAAAUAAACGAUGUCUUGCUGACUCGCAUGCAAGGUUUCUAUGCACUGGGGAGUGCAGUGCAACCCACCAACCCUCCAGCCUUUUAGCCAGUGUUUUGUUUUAGCCAAAUCACUCUCAACCCAGUCCUUGAAACAACAGUGUAUUCCCUCCUCCACAGUUUUGCUUAUCCUAUUUUCUCCUCCUAGAAAAUUAUCCCUUUAUUUUUAAUACAACCAAAAAAUCAAUUCAUCCUUAAAGAACCCAGAUCGAUUAAUUAGAUUCCUCUUCAGAAAAAAAAAAUCAAAACAUUCCACUCCACUAAUAAAUUCUCUGCUUUCUGAUUCUCAAGACAUUCAUUGUCUCUUAGGUCAUUUGUCAGUUAACUAAUUAAUCCAUCCAUCCAACCAAGCAACUGUUAAGGGGCCCUUGUUGUGAGCCCAUCCCUUCAUGUGAAUUCAUAGAUGGAAAGGAAACAGUCCUUAUCCUCAAGAAGCGUACUUAUCUCUUGACCUUGAUUAUUUUUAAUUGAACCAUAACUAAUUUUUAGAUUUUGUCUAUAUUACAUUGUACCCUCCCAAUUAUGUGUAUCAAUGACAAAUAUUUAUUAAUUGGUGAUAGGAAAGAAAUGAGGAGCAAUAUAUUACCAUUUGCUGAGCAUUUCUUAAAUUCCCUAGUAUUGAAAUAAGACCUGGAUGGAGAAAAGGAAGAGGACAAAAUAAAAACAAGGAAAAGUCAAUUCCCUUAAGGAGUUGAGACUCUGAUUAGGAAGAUAAGACAUUUUUAAAAAUGAGCUGGAAUUUGAUAAAACAAAUAAAUAGUGAUAGACUUAAAAAGGCAAACUGGAAUCUAAUAAAACAAACACAUUCAAUAAUGAUUUUAUCACACAUUUAUUGAUCAACUUUAAUGUGCUGUACACUGUGCUAGAUAUUUGGGAAGAAUUGUUGAAGUAGUAAGCAGUUUCUAUACAUCAUCUUACCUGACAGAGCAAUUCGAAAGGCAAGUGUUAUAAUCCUCAUAUUCUAAAUGAGGAAAACAGAGGCCCAGAAAUAAUAAAAUAAUGAGAGGUAUGAAAAUGUAAGCUCCGGUUUUCUGAUCGCAUGCCCACUGUUCUUUCCAUUACACAACACUGCCUCCAUUUUUAUGUGUAACUAAUGAAAGAGAAGAAUGAUGAACAUGGGCUAGAUUUAGCUGAGGAGGCUGGGUUUUGAGGAUGAAGAAUGGAUAUGAUACUACUACGGAAAUUAAAAUUUUAGUCAUUAAAUUGAGCUUACUAUUGCAGAUUCAACUUAUGUGAUUAAACCACAAGGAACUCUUUUACUA